rnacentral:tRNA from 1 species
GAUCAUGUAGCAUAAUCGGAAGCGCGUUGGGCUUAGGCCCAAAAGGUCCAGGUUCAAAUCCUGUCGUGUCA